rnacentral:rRNA from 1 species
AUGAGUUCUUCGUCAUCUUCAUCUGGCGACGAUGAACUCAUACUUGCAGCAUUCGCCGAGCGCGAGGAGGAAGAGAGGAAGAACGCUCGACGCCAUGGCGGUUCCAAGCAUGGACGUCAGUCAAUCGAUCGAGGAAGAGAUGCCGGAUUUCUUCUUCUGUGGGACGACUACUUCAAAGAGGUUCCUCGCUUUCCCGAACAUUUGUUUCGACGAAGGUUCGUAAUUAGUACACUUCUCUGCUUUGCUAGCCGAAGGCCAAACUCCUCCAGUGAAUUAUAG